rnacentral:rRNA from 1 species
UACGUAGGUGGCAAGCGUUGUCCGGAAUUAUUGGGCGUAAAGCGCGCGCAGGCGGUUUCUUAAGUCUGAUGUGAAAGCCCACGGCUCAACCGUGGAGGGUCAUUGGAAACUGGGAGACUUGAGUGCAGAAGAGGAGAGUGGAAUUCCACGUGUAGCGGUGAAAUGCGUAGAGAUGUGGAGGAACACCAGUGGCGAAGGCGACUCUCUGGUCUGUAACUGACGCUGAGGCGCGAAAGCGUGGGGAGCGAACAGGAUUAGAUACCCUGGUAGUCCACGCCGUAAACGAUGAGUGCUAAGUGUUAGAGGGUUUCCGCCCUUUAGUGCUGCAGCUAACGCAUUAAGCACUCCGCCUGGGGAGUACGGCCGCAAGGCUGAA